UUGAGGUAUGAGUUUCUUGAUUUUAAUUCCUAUUAUGCCGCCAAUGUUAGAAUGAGUUAAACCGGAUUGAUUUUCUUGAAUUUUGUUAUGGGUUUACUUCAAUAUUUUAAAGAGUUACCAUAUCAGAUAUGUGAAACAAUCGUGUGAGGAGAUUUUGGCAAAUGAUGUAGAACAUUUUAUGGUGGUUAUUAUAUUACUGCAAUUAUCCUUUUUUAGAUUGACACGUGUAUUUUAUAUUAUAUGUUAAUAUUCUCAAGUUAAUGUGUUCAUCUCAUAAUAUUGUUUCCAUUCAAGUGGGGAGAUUCAACUGAUUGUGAUGUAGGACUCUCUUUAGCAUCUUUUGAUUUUUCUCUUUUUUUCUUUCAUUGCCUUAUGUUUUGUUCUCAUCCUCAAACUAUUUUUCUCUAAUUCCUCACCGAUAAUCCAAACCGAGCAGAAAAUCGUAUGAACCCUAAAAACGGAAUAUGAAAUUAAAUGGCACAGAGGAGGAAUCAAAGCCUAAAACGUUAGGGCUUUGAUUCCUCAUACCUAAUUCCACAUGGUGGUAACGACUUCAGUGUGUAUCAAGGAGGAAGAGACUCACCUACUAGGUGAAGAUUGGCCCCGGAGCUGUAGAAGUUGAAGAAGAAGAUGAUGAACAAGAGUAUCAGAAAUUAUGCAAUGAGGACUGGCUGGUGGGGUCAUGGCUUGGCUUUGAAGACAGCAUCAUAAUGGCAUGCAAGGUUGGCAAUGCAUGAAGAAUUUUAGCACUAAGGCAUGAAGGAUUUUGAAAACAUUGGAGGCUUGGAGAAUCACAAAGAUGGGAUGGCUUGUAAAUGAAGAAAAAUAGAAUAGGGUUUAGGAUAGGUCGUUGACUUUUGUCAAAUGUUUGACCAAAAAGUCAACAGUUGACCAAAAGUCAACUCUAGAUCGAAUUAGCAUUUUUUCUAUAGAAUUUUGUUUGACUUUUGUAAUGGAAUGUUUGAAGGUUUUGUGAUGGAAAUUGAUCUUUGAAUGGCAA